rnacentral:misc_RNA from 1 species
AAAUACGUGUGCCCUCGAGCUAAGACACGCCGCACACGCGCCUUUCGUCCUCUCGCUCUCCUCAUUUUUUUCGUUUACUGCCCCCCGGCAGUCGUCCCACCCCACCCCCUCCCUUCCGUGCCCUGUUUCACGGCAAGCACCACCACAAACCUCGAGAGAACGGAGCGAAAAAAAAAGGUCUCGAAAUAAUCGCGUUGCUGUUCCGGAUUUGCUCUCCAGCACUUACAACGUUCUCUGACAUAUACCCCUCCGUUUGCUCCUGCGUUUUCCCACGAGCGUGCGCUAAGGAGUCCACCUUCACAUCAGCGGGUACUUCUCGUGCGCGAGAACAUGGACAAGGGUGCCGUGACCACUUGUAGAAUGAGCGUCGUGCGCAACUGCGUGGUCUGGGUGUGUGUUUUCGCCCUCCUUCUGCACGCGGGCACUGUAGGCGCUCAAGUUACCGCGCCGUGGUACAGAAUCAACUACAACACGCCAGCGUACGUUCUGUACAAGCCGCAGGACGUAGCGCAGUACGCUACGUCUCGAGCCGCCGCUAACGGGUACUGCGUGCAGAAUGGCAUGAGUAUCUUUUCUGCCGAGCUGCCCGCUAAGGAUAAUAAUUUCGCAUCGGAUGCGGCGAAGGAGCUCGGGAGUACGGGCUACUUCACCUACACAGGCUCCAGCGCAGAGCCGGUUCCCAGUUUUGCCCGCUUUUGCACGCAACUGCAGCCCAAUCCAAGCUCUACUCCCAACUCGAUAAAGUGCGGGUUCACCUUUAGAUUCGGUCUGCUGACUGUAAUCGAUACUGUGCUGCUAGGGAAUCAACCUGGUGUUGCCCAGUACUAUUCACUGUACCCGAAUAUGUGGGGCGCAGGGAAUGCGAACACCGGCUACGCAGUUGAGUGGGACACAACGAGGCCGAAUCCCCGUGGCUACUAUUUCAUGGCCGUGACGGGGUUGACGGACACGGUUGGCCGACACGUUAACGUGGAUGCGACGGUGUCGGCGAGCGAUAGCUACGUCACGGCAUCCAAGUUCGCAAUCUACUGCGAGUCGCAGAGCUUCCUGGGCUACGUUCCUGUUCCUACUGUAUUAGUGCAGCCCACCUUCGUCAAGGGUUACAAGGAACUGACAUGGGCCCAAGAGCACUGGUGGGUCAUUUUCCUCAUCAUUGCCAUUCUCAUUCUGAUCGUGCUGCUCACCAUCCUCAUCUACUGCUGCCUCACCAGGACACCGCCGAAGGAGCAGCCCCCAAUCGCGCCGAUGGUGCUGCGUGAGCACAACGGAUCCGCGUACGUGAACGUGUUGGAUGAUGGAUCCUCGAAGCCGCACAACGCAGCUGACGUGCCCAAUCAGCGUAGUUCAAUGCCAGAAAACUGGCAGCAGAGGUCUGGUAUCUUGAUGGGCCCCAAGCCGGCGGUAGAUCCCGAGGACCUCAUUCAGGCAAAGCCGUCCAUUUUCGCCCGCGAAGAAACGCUGCAAACCGCCGAUGGGGACAGCCUGGCCUUGGAGAACGAAGACGAAGAGCUCAGGGAGAAGGAGACGAGCUAAUAGGCGGAGCGAGGCAAUGAAAGGAGGACAUCGUGAUCAUACCCAGGCGGUGAUACACAACUGGGGCGGAUACGCUGACAUCACGCACGCGCGCCACACGUGGAGAGACACGAAAGAUGCAUACCAGCCCCAUCGCAGAUAUCGGCACCAACUCAUCCAUUCACGCAUAAGCAGGCAGGGAGGGGGACCGUGUCUCUCUCUCUCUCUCCUCUCUCGAAUUCUCCGGCAGUUUGCGCUUGUGCCGUAUGCACUAAUUAUAUGUGUGAUGCCUUUUCAUCUUUUUGAGAGUCCCCGUCCCAUUUUCAGCGCCUCUCUACCUCUACGUGUAGAAAGGCUUCGCUCCUUGAAGACGCGCAUGUGUCUGUGCUGCGUUGCCUAUCCACCCCCCCCCCACUCUCUCCCUUGUUGCUGCAUUCUUUUGUUCCAGGCGCCGCUCUGGUUGACGUCUGUGUCUCUCUGCGUGUGGGUGGGUGUCUUUAUUGUAUUCUUUCUUUGCGUUCUUGUAUUUUCCGAUUCUGCAUCGUGCUUGUUUGAUCCUCCGCAUAGCUCUCGUCUCUUUGGCGCCCUCCCCCUCCCCUUCUUUUUUUAGGUUGCAUGGGCGUUUCUUCUCCAUCCUUCCCAGAAGUCCCUGUUCUUUCGCAUCAUGGAGUUUCCUCUCUCCCGCAUACGCCGUCUUUCCCAGAUGUGGCUUUACAGAACAUUUUUGUGGCGCUGCUGUUGUUUUGUUUGUCUCGCCCUCUUCACCAUCACCAGCACCACUCCACCUCACCCCUCACCCUUUUUCUGCUCCCUUCCUCUCUUGUGCUGUCUUUGCUAAUGGUCGACGGGGGUUUGUGCUUGGUAUGUGCACACGGUUGUGGUUCUGCUGUGUCGUCUAUGCAGGCUGCGCGUUCCUUUUUCUUUUUUGUGUUACUGUCAUUCAUUGGCGCUCCCCCCCCCCAUUUUUCUCUUUUUUGAUUAUACGGCGAGUAUUUUGUCGUGAGUCUCUAAUCUUCUUUCCACCCCCACCCACGCCCAUUUAUUCAUGUCCACCGUGAGUGCGGAAAGGAUCACCUUCAACAUGAGCAGGACAGCUAAAGGCAUUAAAAGCAAUGCUCAAGGACAGGAGAAGCACCCGAAGGCUUUUCGCUGAACUGACUCUCGCUGGCCUUCUCUGUUCUCUCCUGUCGCUUUCCUGAAGUUCAUUCUCGCGUGACGUGCACCGCCGUCCAUCGCAUUACAUGUGCGCAUGAAGGUGUGAACCUCAGCACAGAGGAAGGAAGGGGGGUGACACUGAAGUGGGAGCCCAUCGCACGUUUUACUUGGCCCCCGCCCCCCGCCCGGCUAACGCUCCGUUGGCGUCCUUCGCAGUGGACGAUUACGUUUACCUCAUAGUACUUCUUUCUUUUAUCUGCUGUUUGCUAGUGGCGAUGAUGCAUUUGGCCGAUGUUUUGCUUAUUUUUUUUUGCACUUCUUGUAUGACGGCUACGUUUGUAUGCGUGAUUGUGUGUUGUUUUGAGGCGUGGGUUACGUGACAGGGGGUCUCAUCCUCUCGCACCGCCCUUGCAAGCCCGGUGUCGCAGUGGCUACAUGCGUCGGGUGAGUUGCACGCGCGUCUCUCGCUUUUUCCAGGUAUUUUGUAUGCUUGCCCCUCAACCUGCUGCACACAUUCGCGACAUCGAGGAUGUCCUGUGUGCUCCAGCGCUGCGGUCCAGUCGGAUUCGCAUCAUGCGGGGGAAGAGCAAACGGUUUGCGCCGGAGCGCUGCGGAGAAGAGAAUAUGGAGACAGCGAAGGCUUCUGUUGUCGAUACAGCAACGAGAAGCCCGAUGCCGCCUCUCGAUUCCAUGCGCUUCCAUAUGUGUCUUCUUGUGCGACGAGCACACACUUUUGGUGCGGCGAAGCACCUCUUCUCCUCCGCUGCAGCACGGCGUGUGUGGUGUGUAUGUCGGAUGGCGAUGGCGGACAGAUGCACGCCGUGCUGUGGUACUGCCUCAGGCAAGGCACCCCCGCCUCCCUCCAACGCCGCACAUGUUUUCCAAUCAACUUUGAGGUGCACUGUGAGGGGCGGUGGUGCUCCUUCGUGUGUUCCCACCUCUCCUGUUUACCAGUCUCCAUGCGUUUCUUUUACAUGGUCUUCUUUUUUUUUUGCGAGGGAGAGGUGACUAGCGCAUUUUUCUUCUUCCUGCCGCCGCGUACGCCGCCCUCCCCCCUCCCUCGCUGACACACGCACCCCUCAGUUUCUUCACGCGCAAUCGCUUCAAGGGCAUGCUGUACUUGUUUAUCUUCUUGUGGCAUGAUGGGCAAAGAAGGAAUAGCGAUUAUGACACUCUCUCGGGGACCGAAGGAAGGGAAGCGUAUACUGUCGCGUUAACAUGCGUGGGAAUUGCAUGCCCUUCUUGGCAUGCUUGUGGUUACGGCGUGACGCUUAAAAGCAAGCACAUACUACGUUCCUGGCACCUAGCCAAGCACGGGGUCGGAAAAGAGCAUGGCGUAGUGUGUCAAGGAGGCCAGUUGGAGUCGCUCCUCGUUUUCAGGAGCGCCAAAAGAAAGAGAAGAAACUCGGAGGCGAAGCAGCAGCAGCAACAACAAAAAGAGUACAACGGAAAAGAAACCAGCCCCUGUGCUUGGUGUAACGCACAGAGGAGCGUGACCUCGAGAUGUCACGCAGGGGAAUUCCUUCGUAUGUUCUUUGCUCUCUCUAUGUUUUGUGUCUUGACUUUUUUUUUCAGAUGGGCUCGAAGUAGACGACCACCUUUCCCCUUCCUCCUCCUGCUCCUGCUCCUCUCUCUCUGUCUGUCUGUCACGUGCGUUGGGUUCGUUCUUGCCUUUCACUCUGGCUGUUUCCUUCGAGGCUUAUUUUUGUUUCGUCUGCUUUCAUUCGUUCUCGCUUUUGUUAGCGGUUUCUCUUUUUUUAGCUGCUGUCACCUUUUGUGCUGCUGAAGAGGCGAUUUCGUCCGCGCUGCAUGCUUCGUUCCUGACCCUCUUCUUCUACUCCCUGUGCUGUCGGUACUCUUCUUCGUCUCACCCGUGCGCCCGAAGUGGCGUGUGACCGUGUGCGUGCGUCUGUGUGAUCACCGAUUAGAUGGCGGUUCCUUAAUCGCCAAGAACACACGGCUUUCUUUGCCUAAUAUUGCUUGCUGCGUGCACACGCUCGUGUGUAUGUGUGUGUGUGUUACCUUGCCUUAAUCCCACUUCAGCCUUCUUCUGCAGCCAUCCUCAGCCACUGUUCUCAACAGAAGAGUGGCAACGAAAAAUCCUCUUCACGUGUUGCCUAAUGAAGAGCGGGAGCACAGAACAAAUACGAAGAAAAAAUUGAAAAAAAAAAUGACUUUGCGAGGAAGGUAUAGAAAGGAGCACUGAACCUCACGCUCUUUCCAGUGUGGCGUGCAAGUGUGGCCUACGCUUUUCUUGGGGAUUUGCAGCAGAAAAAAGAAAGGAAAACAAGAGAAACGAUAACCAAGCGAUGCUGUUGGUGUUCUGCUCUCUUUUUGUUGCAUUGUUGUUGUCCAUUCAUGCGUGCACGCGUAUUCGCUUCGUUUUGUUUCCGGUGUGCUGUACCCAAUGUGAAUAAACUGUAAAAGCAUAAAGACAAAAGAAAACACAUAGCGUGGAACGGGCAGAGCAAUGGCCCUCCCUCUCCUUUCCAUCCACCGUUUAUCCCUUGCGCGCUGCUGGACCGAUCGUUUCUGUAGGAAAGAGGGACGAUUAUGAGGCAAGAGUAGCGCCCCACAGGGGUGCACGCAAACAUGUCCUGAGCAUGAGGAAGCAAGAGUCUGAGCACCUCCUCAUCAAACGACAUCAGCCAUGACAGCGGCAACAGGGUGUACCGAAAACUUGCCACGGGUAGCGCUGAUAUCAAGUUGUCGUCUCAUGCAUGUGUGCCUGCAUCCUUCUGUUUCCGCGUCUGCGUUCUUUCCUCCCCUUUUAUCACUCCUUUGUACUCUUCAUGCCCUCUUGUUUUUGUUGUUAUGUCUGUGUGUGUGUGCGGUAGUUUUGUCCGUCUCUGUGUGUGCGUCUUUUCACCAACACCCGCACCCUUUCUUUUGCUUAUUGUCUGUAUCCUUUCUUUUUUAUCGUCUUCGCUUCACGUUGUCCUUUGUGUUGUCGCGCUGCCACGCCUUUGUUUUCCUGUUGGCGCUCUUUUUUUUUGCUUUUAUUUGAAACCAUUCUGGCCAUCAUCGGCCAGAGUACUAAAACGAAACAGCUUCCUCGGUCUCGAAACCCGAGUACUUGCGGAGCAGCACAUGCGCACAAGCAGAGUUGAAUUCAUAUCCGCGAAAUGGGCCUUCGCUGUGUGGAAAAGUGGACGCACCGCCACUAGAACGCCGCCCGCGUGGUGGUGGGAAGAGCUUGUGAGUGUGGCGUCGCGGUGUAUACAUGCCGCCGCUGUCAAUGGUGGCCUGUCCUCUCCACAGUGCACUGUCUGGGCUUACGGUGUGAGCCACAGUAGGUAGAGACGCCCGCGGAAGGGAGAACGGGGUGGGGCUGCAAAUAGAAUACGGUGCUCAAUGGUUUCUGGGAGUGUAC